rnacentral:rRNA from 1 species
GACGAACGCUGGCGGCGUGCUUAACACAUGCAAGUCGAACGGAAAGGCCCUGCUUUUGUGGGGUGCUCGAGUGGCGAACGGGUGAGUAACACGUGAGUAACCUGCCCUUGACUUUGGGAUAACUUCAGGAAACUGGGGCUAAUACCGGAUAGGAGCUCCUGCUGCAUGGUGGGGGUUGGAAAGUUUCGGCGGUUGGGGAUGGACUCGCGGCUUAUCAGCUUGUUGGUGGGGUAGUGGCUUACCAAGGCUUUGAUGGGUAGCCGGCCCGAGAGGGUGACCGGCCACAUUGGGACUGAGAUACGGCCCAGACUCCUACGGGAGGCAGCAGUGGGGAAUAUUGCACAAUGGGCGGAAGCCUGAUGCAGCAACGCCGCGUGCGGGAUGACGGCCUUCGGGUUGUAAACCGCUUUCGCCUGUGACGAAGCGUGAGUGACGGUAAUGGGUAAAGAAGCACCGGCUAACUACGUG